AGCGAACGCUGGCGGCAGGCCUAACACAUGCAAGUCGAGCGCCGUAGCAAUACGGAGCGGCAGACGGGAGAGUAACACGUGGGAACGUACCCUUCAGUACGGAACAACCAAGGGAAACUUUGGCUAAUACCGUAUACGUCCGUAAGGAGAAAGAUUUAUCGCUGAAGGAUCGGCCCGCGUCUGAUUAGCUAGUUGGUGAGGUAAUGGCUCACCAAGGCGACGAUCAGUAGCUGGUCUGAGAGGAUGAUCAGCCUCACUGGGACUGAGACACGGCCCAGACUCCUACGGGAGGCAGCAGUGGGGAAUAUUGGACAAUGGGCGCAAGCCUGAUCCAGCCAUGCCGCGUGGGUGAUGAAGGCCCUAGGGUCGUAAAGCCCUUUCGGCGGGGAAGAUAAUGACGGUACCCGCAGAAGAAGCCCCGGCUAACUUCGUGCCAGCAGCCGCGGUAAAAC
rnacentral:rRNA from 1 species